rnacentral:lncRNA from 1 species
CGUAUCAUCUGAAGCGGCUCAGUAAUGUUGAUCAUAUCUUUGCUUCUGUGCGAUGUUCUUUCGACUUCCCUAUUUUGACAUAACUCAUAUCCUUCAUUCAAUUUGAAUUCCAGACGAGGUAGUCCUCUCACCAAUUCUCUUCUUACUAAUAAAAAGAGCUCCUUGUUUUGACAUACAAGUUUGAGAGCUUCAAGUGCCAUAGCUAAUACUCAUCUGAUGAAGCUUCACUAUCAAAACAGCUCACUCCAUCUUCAGUUGAAGUACCAUAUUAGCUACGAGUAAAUUUCACAUCCUUCCUGAUUUAAGAUAAAACACUAUUCCAUGAACUGACAUAAUGUCCUUUGUCAGAGAACCGUCUGAUACUAGGAAUUUGUGU